UACCAAAAACACAGGUUUGUGCUAAAUCGAAAGAUGACGUAUACGAGCUGACGCCUGCCCGGUGCUGGAAGGUUAAAAGGAGAUGUGCAAGCAUUGAAUUGAAGCCCCAGUGAACGGCGGCCGUAACUAUAACGGUCCUAAGGUAGCGAAAUUCCUUGUCAGGUAAGUUCUGACCCGCAUGAAAGGCGUAAUGAUCUGGGCACUGUCUCAACAGCCCGCCCGGCGAAAUUGUAGUACCGGUGAAGAUGCCGGUUACCCGCGACAAGACGGAAAGACCCCAUGGAGCUUUACUGUAGCCUGAUAUUGGGUUUCGGUGUUGCAUGCACAGGAUAGAUGGGACACUGGGAAGCGGAUGCUUUGGCGUUCGUGGAGUGGACGUUGGGAUACCAUCCUUGCGACAUUGGAAUUCUAACCUGCGCCUCUGAAUCGAGGCGGGGGACAUUGUCAGGUGGGCAGUUUGACUGGGGCGGUCGCCUCCUAAAAAGUAGCGGAGGCGUUCAAAGGUUCGUUCGAUCUGGACGGAAACCAGAUGAUUGAGUGCAAACGCAUAAACGAGCCUGACUGCGAGACUGACGGGUCGAGCAGAGACGAAAGUCGGAGUUAGUGAUCCGGUGGUAUGUGAGUGGAAAUGCCAUCGCUCAACGGAUAAAAGUUACCCUGGGGAUAACAGGCUGAUCUCCCCCAAGAGUCCACAUCGACGGGGAGGUUUGGCACCUCGAUGUCGGCUCAUCGCAUCCUGGGGCUGAAUUCGGUCCCAAGGGUUUGGCUGUUCGCCAAUUAAAGCGGUACGCGAGCUGGGUUCAGAACGUCGUGAGACAGUUCGGUCCCUAUCUGUCGUGGGCGCAGGAUAUUUGAAAGGCGCUGUCCCUAGUACGAGAGGACCGGGAUGGACGAACCUCUGGUGCACCAGUUGUCACGCCAGUGGCACAGCUGGGCAGCUAUGUUCGGAUCGGAUAAACGCUGAAAGCAUCUAAGCGUGAAGCCGGCCUUAAGAUAAGAUAUCCCACUGAGUCAAUCAGGUAAGACCCCUUGAAGACUACAAGGUUGAUAGGCACACAGUGUAAGCGGAGUGAUCCGUUCAGCUAGCGUGUACUAAUAGGUCGAGGGCUUGACCC
rnacentral:rRNA from 1 species